CCUACGGGAGGCAGCAGUGAGGAAUAUUGGUCAAUGGGCGAGAGCCUGAACCAGCCAAGUCGCGUGAAGGAUGACGGCCCUACGGGUUGUAAACUUCUUUUGUCAGGGAGCAAUUGGGUCCACGCGUGGGCUUAGCGAGAGUACCUGAAGAAAAAGCAUCGGCUAACUCCGUGCCAGCAGCCGCGGUAAUACGGAGGAUGCGAGCGUUAUCCGGAUUUAUGGGGUUUAUAGGGUGCGUAGGCGGAAUAUCAAGUCAGCGGUAAAAAUUCGGGGCUCAACCCCGUCGUGCCGUUGAAACUGAUGUUCUUGAGUGGGCGAGAAGUAUGCGGAAUGCGGGGUGUAGCGGUGAAAUGCAUAGAUAUCACGCAGAACUCCGAUUGCGAAGGCAGCAUACCGGCGCCCAACUGACGCUGAAGCACGAAAGCGUGGGUAUCGAACAGGAUUAGAUACCCCUGUAGUC
rnacentral:rRNA from 1 species